rnacentral:rRNA from 1 species
GAUGAACGCUGGCGGCGUGCCUAAUACAUGCAAGUCGAGCGAACGGACGAGAAGCUUGCUCCUCUGAUGUUAGCGGCGGACGGGUGAGUAACACGUGGAUAACCUACCUAUAAGACUGGGAUAACUUCGGGAAACCGGAGCUAAUACCGGAUAAUAUUUUGAACCGCAUGGUUCAAAAGUGAAAGACGGUUUUGCUGUCACUUAUAGAUGGAUCCGCGCUGCAUUAGCUAGUUGGUAAGGUAACGGCUUACCAAGGCAACGAUGCAUAGCCGACCUGAGAGGGUGAUCGGCCACACUGGAACUGAGACACGGUCCAGACUCCUACGGGAGGCAGCAGUAGGGAAUCUUCCGCAAUGGGCGAAAGCCUGACGGAGCAACGCCGCGUGAGUGAUGAAGGUCUUCGGAUCGUAAAACUCUGUUAUUAGGGAAGAACAGAUGUGUAAGUAACUGUGCACGUCUUGACGGUACCUAAUCAGAAAGCCACGGCUAACUACGUG